AUUGAACGCUGGCGGCAGGCCUAACACAUGCAAGUCGAGCGGAUGAAGGGAGCUUGCUCCUGGAUUCAGCGGCGGACGGGUGAGUAAUGCCUAGGAAUCUGCCUGGUAGUGGGGGAUAACGUCCGGAAACGGGCGCUAAUACCGCAUACGUCCUGAGGGAGAAAGUGGGGGCUCUUCGGACCUCACGCUAUCAGAUGCGCCUAGGUCGGAUUAGCUAGUUGGUGGGGUAAAGGCCUACCAAGGCGACGAUCCGUAACUGGUCUGAGAGGAUGAUCAGUCACACUGGAACUGAGACACGGUCCAGACGACUACGGGAAGCAGCAGUGGGGAAUAUUGGACAAUGGGCGAAAGCCUGAUCCAGCAAUGCCGCGUGUAUGAUGAAGGUCUUCGGAUUGUAAAGCACUUUAAGUUGGGAGGAAGGGAAGUACGUUAAUACCUUGCUGUUUUGACGUUACCAACAGAAUAAGCACCGGCUAACUUCGUG
rnacentral:rRNA from 1 species